rnacentral:rRNA from 1 species
CCCUUAGAUGUUAUGGGCCGCACGCGCGCUACACUGAUGCAUUCAACGAGUCUAAAACCUGCUCUGAUAGGGGUGGGUAAUCUUUUGAAUGUGCAUCGUGAUUGGGAUAGAUGAUUGCAAUUUUUCAUCUUCAACGAGGAAUGCCUAGUAAACGCAAGUCAUCAGCUUGCAUUGAUUACGUCCCUGCCCUUUGUACACACCGCCCGUCGCUCCUACCGAUUGAAUGAUCCGAUGAAUAUCAUGGAUUGAGGAUGCAAGUAGGUUAGCCUAUCUUCAUCUUCGAGAAGUGAAGUAAAUCUUAUCAUUUAGAGGAAGGAGAAGUCGUAACA